rnacentral:rRNA from 1 species
ACACAUGCAAGUCGAGGGGCAGCACGGUGUAGCAAUACACCGGUGGCGACCGGCGCACGGGUGAGUAACACGUGUGCAACCAACCCCGUACCGGGAGAUAACCCGCGGAAACGUGGACUAACACCCCAUAACACCUUUCCCCUGCAUGGGGGGGAGUUUAAAACCCCGGUGGUACGGGACGGGCACGCGCGACAUUAGGUAGUUGGCGGGGUAACGGCCCACCAAGCCGACGAUGUCUAGGGGUUCUGAGAGGAAGGUCCCCCACACUGGAACUGAGACACGGUCCAGACUCCUACGGGAGGCAGCAGUGAGGAAUAUUGGUCAAUGAGCGAGAGCCUGAACCAGCCAAGUCGCGUGAGGGAAGAAUGGUCUAUGGCCUGUAAACCUCUUUUGUCAAGGAAGAAUAAGCGGCACGAGUGCCACCUUGCCAGUACUUGACGAAUAAGCAUCGGCUAACUCCGUGCCAGCAGCCGCGGUAAUACGGGGGAUGCGAGCGUUAUUCGGAUUUAUUGGGUUUAAAGGGCGCGUAGGCGGGACGACAAGUCAGCGGUAAAAGACUGCAGCUAAACUGUAGCACGCCGUUGGAACUGUCGACCUGGAGACGAGACGAGGGAGGCGGAACAAGUGAAGUAGCGGUGAAAUGCAUAGAUAUCACUUGGAACCCCGAUAGCGAAGGCAGCUUCCCAGGCUCGAUCUGACGCUGAUGCGCGAGAGCGUGGGUAGCGAACAGGAUUAGAUACCCUGGUAGUCCACGCCGUAAACGAUGCUCACUGGAUCUUGGCGAUACACGGCCAGGGUUCA